rnacentral:rRNA from 1 species
GUGGAUGAGGCAUGCAAGUCGAACGGAAUCGAAAGAUUCAGUGGCGGAAGGGUUAGUAAUACAUGGGUAACUUACCUCUAACACUGGAAUAACGGUUGGAAACGAUCGCUAAUACCGGGUGAGGUGAGCUAAAGGAGUCUUUAGCUUAUCAAAGUGGGGGAUCGCAAGACCUUGCGGUUAGAGAGAGGCCCAUGGGAUAUCAGCUAGUUGGUGUGGUAAAGGCGCACCAAGGCUAAGACGUCUAGGCGGAUUGAGAGAUUG